AAGGGUCAUUAUCCAGCCUGGCCUCCUAUUCCACUUGAAAGGGUUGACAGCACAGCCAGCCCCAAGGGCUCUCUCCCCGGCUGCCUCCCCAGCUCUCCUGGGUUUAGAGAUGGAGGCACAGGAAGGCGCCCCCCGCCCCAGGCUGACAGCAGAGGAGCCUGGGGCCGCAGCUAAGGAGGCUGAAGGGCUGGCUGGGAGUGGAGCCAAGGAGGCGGCUCAGGGUGGGGAUGGGCUGGGGGAGAAGGGGAGAGCAGGGAAUUCUGGGAGCAAUGCUAAGGGGGGCGGUGAGGCCAGCAAAGCAGGGGAUUGUGGGAGUGAUGCUAAGGGGGACGUUGCACCUGGGCUAGCAGGGGAUUCUGGGAGUGAUGCUAAGGGGGGCAGUAAGGCUGGGGGAGCAGGGGAUUCUGGGAGCGAUGCUAAGGGGGGCAGUGAGGCCAGCAGAGCAGGGGAUGCUGGGAGAGAUGCUAAGGGGGGAAGUGAGGCAGGGGGAGCAGGGGAUUCUGGGAGUGAUGCUAAGGGGGGCAGUGAGGCCAGCAGAGCAGGGGAUGCUGGGAGAGAUGCUAAGGGGGGAAGUGAGGCAGGGGGAGCAGGGGAUUCUGGGAGUGAUGCUAAGGGGGGCAGUGAGGCCAGUAGAGCAGGGGAUGCUGGGAGAGAUGCUAAGGGGGGCGGUGAGGCAGGGGGAGCAGGGGAUUCUGGGAGCAAUGCUAAGGGGGACGGUGAGGCAGGUGGAGCAGGGGAUUCUGGGAGUGAUGCUCAGGGGGGCAGUGAGGCCAGCAGAGCAGGGGAUUCUGGGAGCGAUGCUCAGGGAGAAGGUGAUGUCAGCAGGGCAGGGGAUGCUGGGAGAGAUGCUAAGGGGGGCAGUGAGGCUGGGGGAAUAGGGGAUUCUGGGAGAGAUGCUAAGGAGGGCGGUGAGGCUGGUGGAGCAGGGGAUUCUGGGGCUGGGGCAGAGGAGGGGCAGGGGACUGGAGCAGAGGAGAGGGAGGCAGUAGGUGGGUCUGGGCUUGAGCCCCAGGACGGGGUUGGAGGGGCCGAGCCAGAGAUGCAAGGGGCUGAAGUCGAGAGGACCAGCGGUGCCGUGGCCAGAGAGGGGCGUGGUGGGAGCACCUCAGAGGAGCCGCUGUCCCCAGAGAUUGGGGGCGAGGAGGAGGAGUGGGGUGAGCCUGCACCCAGCUCCCCCGACGAGGGGCUGGCCAGCCCCACAGGGGACGCUGCCUUUGGGAAGGAGACUGGGGCCCCCCAGCCGGGCGGUGCCUCCCAAGGCCGAGAAGCCGCGCCAGGUGGCAGCACCAGCACUGGAGAGAUAGCCCAGCAGGACAGCGGGCAGAGCCCUGCACCUGAAGGAGUUGCACCCCCCAAAGAGAAGCCAAAGAGACCAGCGCUGGAUCGGAGGGAGUUGACCCGACCCCGCCUGGCACCCAGGGCCCAGUCCCGCAAGGCCCUUGUGGAGAAAUUUGGGGGGGCAGCCAGCGGCCCGGCCCCCAACAUCAAGAAGACUGGAGGUGCCAACACCAUCAAGAACAUGCUGCUGGAGUGGUGUCGUGCCAAGACGCGCGGCUAUGAGCACGUGGACAUCCAGAACUUCUCCUCCAGCUGGAGCAGCGGCUUGGCCUUCUGCGCCCUCAUCCACAAGUUCUUCCCUGAUGCCUUCGACUACGCGGCCCUCGACCCGGCCAACCGCAGGGAGAACUUUGCCCUGGCUUUUGCCGCUGCUGAGCAGCAUGCCGAUUGCGCCCCACUGCUGGAGGUGGAGGACAUGGUGCGCAUGAGCGUCCCGGACUCCAAGUGCGUCUACACCUACGUCCAGGAGCUGUACCGCAGCCUGGUGGACAAGGGGCUGGUGAAGACCAAGAAGAAAUGAGGUGGGGGGAGCAGCUGGCCGGGGGAGCAGAGAGCGCGCCAGGCAACGUGGGUCUGUCCUGGAGCUCUCCCCCAAAGUGGCAUCUCCUCCGCUGGUAACCGUCCGUCCACAGCCAUCUCCUGCCUGCCCCCUUCCCCGCCCGCGGCUCACGUGUGCACACGAGACCCUGGCAGAUCCAGUAAAGCAGAACUGCUCCAAGCUCAGGCAGACGCCGGGCGGUUUCUUGUGGUUAGCUCGGGUAGGUCGAGGGCUCCCUCAGCACCGGCCACAUUCCUCGGCCAGGGUGCAACAGAUGUGGCUGUGGCUGCAGCCCAGACAGGAGCGAUGCCCAUCAGCAGUGGGAAGUCGCCUCGGCUCCCCGCCAACACCAGAUGAGCACAUUUCACCAUAGGGCUGGGGCCAGCAUUCCUCGUGGAUCCAAGCUGGCAGCGGGCGCCUGGAACACGUCUUUGGCUGGCCACAGCAGGGGUGGUUCUCCUGGCACUUCCAGGGUCCAUUAGAACCAAGCGCCCGCACUCAGGGCUACCCCCACAGCAGCUGCCCGGCUCCAAGUGACAGUGAACCAGGGCCGCCUUCCUGCUGGUGCCAAUGUGACACCCAGCUGGGUGCCAAUGAUCUUCCAAGCUCUGAAGGGCCUUGUCCAAAUGCAGGCCUCUGCUCUGGGCCUUGACUCAGCUCUGCCAAGCUGCCAGAUCCCGCAGAGGGCCUGGAAGUCAUAGGCUUGAGCACAGACCCCCGCCCCCUUCCAACCAGUAACUACAGCCCUCGUAGCUCUGUGCUGCCCUCUGGUGGCAAAGUCUUGCUAGCUCUAGAUCAUGGAUGGUGCAGACGGAUGACCGCACCAACAGCAGUCACUUCCUCCAGGUCCAAGGCACAAGGCAGCAACUGUUAGGACAGGAAGUGGAGGAGUGGACCAUACCAAGGGAGGAGAGAGAGAGGCAGGGUGUGAUCACUCAAGCUGGCAGGGGCUCUGACACACCCGCCUGUGGGAUUUUUAAUGGGCACAAAGACCUCAGUUUUAUGUCCCCUGGGAAUGCAGCUUCCCGCCCCGCGCUGUUUGGGGGGCCCUAUAGGGUCACACAUAUGGCUUUGGCAGCUCUCAGCUGGACAACUCCAUGGUCUGACCCUCAAGCCAGCCCGUGGUAACUGGGGAGAACAGGAGGGAGGGCUGGGGGGAGCUGGCUAGGAACAGCACCCGACUCCAUGGGAACAGGCUGGCCCAGGGAGCUGGGACAGGACCCAGAGCCCUUCCCCUCCAGUGCAGAGCAGGGGGUGGGCGGGAGGAGGGAGAUCAGAAUGGUUCAUCCUCAGGGCAUCUGCUCCAAUCCCACCUCAAAGAGAAAGAGUCUAGAGAUAUUCCGAGGGCCCCAGGGAAUGGCCCCACA